AGCAGUUGAGCACUCCAGCCCUUCGUCAGCUGAUAAAACACACUGACGGAGAGCGAGAGACGAAAUCGAACUAAUAUAAAGACCUGAAAACCCUUACUUAAAAGGAUAAUCUGAAAAAAGAUGGAAGUGGGAGUUUACUACGUAAUCCUGCGUUAUCGGUAUGGAAGAUCUGGGUCUUGUAAACCCGUGUGGUCAAGAAGCUUGAAAGUCUUUUAUUAGCUUGAGGAUUUUAAAGGUCUAUUUCUGAGCUAAUAGGUCCUCUCUGUCCUUUUAGGGAGGAGAGGCGCUCAUGUACAUCAAAGCAUGAAGAGAAAUAUCAGUCCCAGCUAAGGCUUGUGUGUCCAUGCAGUGGUGAGUUCAUUUGUGUGUCUUACUGAUCAUUUCUGUCUUUUUUCUGCCUUAAAAGGUCUGGCUGUCAGUCGUAUUGUUGACUAGGGGCCGGAGUGACACUGGCCCCCCGAAGCGUCCACCUGAUAUAGCAGUGAAAGAUCACAGACAUGGACUUUCAGCCUGGUCCAAACUUGAGAAAACUGUCUAAGCUGAAAAGAUCAGCAUGUACAAUUUCCAAAGCAACAGCGAUUCACCACAGCCAGACUCCCAGGAGGCCGCGGGUGUCUGGACAUGAUGUCACACCUCUAACAUCUUCUAGCCUCUGCUACCUGAAAGUGACAGCUCUUCGCUUCUUCACGGUGAAGAGAAAGCAGAGAGGAGGUGCUGCAGGUACAAGUGGAGCCGCGGUUUCACCUAAAAGCAGAAAGAGCGUCCCAGAGGUCCCUCGACAUCCCCCGCAUGUCUUUUCUCUCUUCCCUCCUUCUUUCUCUCGCCUCAGUGAAGCCGUCCGAUCGCGUUAGCCUCAUCUCAGUGCUAAAACACUCUCUCUGCGCCCCCUCUGUCCUCUGUGCUGUUGCCGGCCUCAUUUCCACCAAACAGAAACACUUUGAAAAUCUCUCUGAACAGGAAAAAUCGUGGGCCUCACUUCCUGCACUGGGUUUGUGUUUGAUAACGCUCAAGACAACAUAAUGCCAAUAAUGACACAAAAUGACUCCAGUGAUUCUGUAAUUAGCUUGUGGAUCUGUUCACAUUACGGUCAUGUUCUGGUCUUUAAAGCUAGUCAGCGUUUUUCAGGGUGUUACCAAAUGCAGAGCUGAUUAAUCAGUAGAGAUCAUCUCCAACAGCCACGUCAUGGUUACAAGACUACAUAAAUCACAGAUACCUGGACAGGAAAGCAGAAAUCUGAUUUUCUGUGUAUAUUCGUAUCAAAAACUUAUGGCACAAAACUGAUGUAAUCAGGUCCAUAUCUUUAUAUUUUGCGAG
rnacentral:lncRNA from 1 species